rnacentral:rRNA from 1 species
AUUCCAGCUCCAAUAGCGUAUAUUAAAGUUGUUGCGGUUAAAAAGCUCGUAGUUGGAUUUCUGCCGAGGAUGACCGGUCCGCCCUGUGGGUGUGCAUCUGGCUCAGCCUUGGCAUCUUCCUGAAGAACGUAGCUGCACUUGACUGUGUGGUGCGGUAUUUAGGACAUUUACUUUGAGGAAAUUAGAGUGUUUCAAGCAAGCGCACGCUUUGAAUACAUUAGCAUGGAAUAAUAAGAUAGGACCUCGGUUCUAUUUUGUUGGUUUCUAGAGCUGAGGUAAUGAUUGAUAGGGAUAGUUGGGGGUGCUAGUACUGAGCGGCCAGAGGUGAAAUUCUUGGAUUCGCUCAAGACUAACUUAUGCGAAAGCAUUCACCAAGGAUGUUUUCAUCG